rnacentral:tRNA from 3 species
GCGCCAGUAGCUCAGCUGGAUAGAGUGCCUGACUACGAAUCAGUAGGUCGGGGGUUCGAAUCCCUCCUGGCGUGCCA